CUCAAAUUCUGGAGUGGAAAAAUGCAAUUUUUCCAAAUUAAUUAAUUGUAUGAUGAAGGAAAAAAACAAGUACUACAAUUAAUCUGACUUGGUCAAACAUGUACUCAGCUGUGCGCCCAAACAUUUUUAUUUCUUGGAAAUUGGUUAGUCCAAAGUCCAAGUCCAAUAUACGUACCUGCAUACAUAAUGCUUUGUUUUCCCUUUGAAAUUAAUUCAAUCCCAGCUGCCUGAAGGACUUGCUUCCUCUUGUUAAGACCAAGGAUGAUAGAUACAUAGCACACAAACAGGUCACUAACAAACUUUCCAAACUCCAAAGAAUCAAUUGAUUGAUCAUUGGUGGCUUGCUGCUUGCGGCUGCGGGUAACUGGUACUCUUGAGCAAGGAGAGGUAACCGCCUUGCAGGUUCUUCACGUUCGCGAACCCCUGCAACGAAAACCAAAACGAAUUCACAUCUCAAUCAAAGAUGGUGAUCUUACUAAGAACAGUAAAAAAAAAAUCAACCAUUCACGAAUGGACUUACAGCAGCGACGAGGUCUGCGGUGGCGAGCCUGGACCGGACCCCAGAGCGGCAGCCAACAAGGAACCGGUCCUCCUUGGAGUGGAGCGCCGCAACCUGGUCGACGAAGUCCGGGUUGCGCUCCUUGCCAUGGGGUGUGACGGAGAGGUAGUAGGGCACGUUGCGUGCACCGGCGACAUGGCCCUUUUCGAAGUCCUCCCACAUCCGCACGUCCACGUACCCGUACUGCUCCGAGGCCAGCAGCCCACACGCCGCCUCCGCGUCCACGCUCUCCACCGCCGCGCUCGUGCUGCUUCGCAGGGAGCCCAUCUAUGGAGGAUCGAGCAGCGGGGAAGAAGGGGCCUCUGCUUCUGUGUGAGGUGGUCUCCAGAGGCUGUGGAGUGGAUUGGCUGAUGGAAAGAUAGGUGCUAUUAUAGGAUAAGAUGAUGCCAUGGCAGCGGUGGAACAUAUCACACCCGGGUAGCCGCAUCCAUCACUUCAUGAUCGCCUAAAGUCGCCUACCAUACAUAAGUUACAUAUAUGGAAAUGUCAACUACAUACGUAGUUGCUGUAUUUGUUUUCUUUGAAAUGACAAGGUGUAUAAGAAUUUCCUUUUGCACCCUAUUUUUUAAAGAUUUUGUGGCAAGUAUUAUACGUGUGGCCUGAAGCGCAUCGUCUUCCAGGCGGCUCGGGGGAGAAAAAACCCUAGCCGCCGCGACUCCUCCCCCUCCCCUCCUAGUCUCGCCGCCGCCGGAGGGGUCUCCCUGGCAAAGGCUGGGCGGCCCUGAGGAAGGUGGCGGCAGGGCAACGAUUCCCUUGUGGUGGCGCAGGCGCGCGAGAGCUCCGCGCGCGGCCGAGGAGUUGCGGACGGCGGCGGCCACCUCCACGGGACGGGCACAUCACGACGAUCCGGUUGGCCUGGCGAUGCGGGCGCACCGUGCAUGGCGGUGGUGUGGCCUACGACCUAUGGCGGUUUGGAUCCGGGGCUCCUGAUCUAGGUCGAGCAUCCAGGUUGGGGCUUUGCCCGGUGGCGCGGCGACGGCCGCUCUGUUGCGUGCUGGACUAUUGGUGGUGGUCGGCCAGGAGGCGGCGGUGGAUCUGGCUUCAGACCUGUACGGCGGCGAGUUUGGAGCGGCAAGACUUCCGGUGAAAACCGAGCCUCGACUACGGUCAUGGCGGAUGAUGGCGGCAUCUUUUGGCGCCGUUACCUUGUCGAAGGCAUCGUCAUAGCAAGUCGCGCACUCCUUUCGGCCUGCUCUGGGGAAAACCCUAGAUUUGUUUUUACGGAUCGGACGAUGGCAACGUCAGGCAUCACACUCCUUGCUGGAAGCACCGUUUUGGAGCAGGUACCGACUUGGGUGGACAGGUGGUAUCUAUCGCAUCAUCGACGACUGGUCUCGGCGGCGUGGCGCAGCGGGGUGUCGCCGACAGAUGUGUGAUGAUGGACGCGCGCAGGGAGGUGGCGCUGUCUGGCGUCGUGGUGGCGUCGACGGCAGCUAGACCGGGCAAGGUAGAUGCAACAGAAUAUCAUUGAAGAUGGAUUGGUGGUUGGUGGCUGUGGCGGCCUCAUAGCCGGCAGGCGUCCUGAUUGAGGAAUGCACCGGACUGGUGGGUGCCCCAUGCUGGGGAACGUUGCAGAAAACAAAAAAAUUCCUACGGUUUCACCAAGAUCCAUCUAUGAGUUCAUCUAGCAACGAGUUACCGGAUUGCAUCUACAUACCUUUGUAGAUUACGCGCGGAAGCGUUCAAAGAACGGGGAUGAGGAAGUCGUACUCGACGUGAUCCAAAUCACCGGAGAUCCUAGCGCCGAACGGACGGCACCUCCGCGUUCAACACACAUACGGUCAGCGUGACGUCUCCUCCUUCUUGAUCCAGCAAGGGGGAAGGAGAGGUUGAUGAAGAUCCAGCAGCACGACGGCAUGGUGGUGGAUGCAGGAGUCACCGCAGCAGGGCUUCGCAGUUCUACUGCGAGAGGGAGAGGUGUAGUAGGGGAGAGGGAGGCGCCAAGAGUCAAGGGUGCGGCUGCCCCUCCCUCCCCCCUUUAUAUAGGCUCCCCUAGGGGGGCGGCCCUAGGACAUGGGAUCUCCUAGGGGGGCGGCGGCCAAGGGGUGGAGUGCCCCCCAAGCCAGGUGGGGCGCCCCCCCACCCUAGGGUUCCCAACCCUAGGCGCAUGGGGUGGGCCGAAGGGGGCGCACCAGCCCACUAUGGGCUGGUUCCCCUCCCCACUUCAGCCCAUGGGGCCCUCCGGGAUGGGUGGCCCCACCCGGUGGACCCCCAGGACCCUUCCGGUGGUCCCGGUACAAUACCGGUGACCCCCGAAACUCUUCCGAUGGCCGAAACUGCACUUCCUAUAUAUAAUUCUUCACCUCCGGACCAUUCCGAAACUCCUCGUGACGUCUGGGAUCUCAUCCGGGACUCCGAACAACUUUCGGGUUACUGCAUAUUCAUAUCUCUACAACCCUAGCGUCACCGAACCUUAAGUGUGUAGACCCUACGGGUUCGGGAGACAUGUAGACAUGACCGAGACGGCUCUCCGGUCAAUAACCAACAGCGGGAUCUGGAUACCCAUGUUGGCUCCCACAUGCUCCUCGAUGAUCUCAUCGGAUGAACCACGAUGUCGAGGAUUCAAGCAACCCCGUAUACAAUUCCCUUUGUCAACCGGUACGUUACUUGCCCGAGAUUCGAUCGUCGGUAUCCCAAUACCUCGUUCAAUCUCGUUACCGGCAAGUCACUUUACUCGUACCAUAAUGCAUGAUCCCGUGACCAGACACUUGGUCACUUUGAGCUCAUUAUGAUGAUGCAUUACCGAGUGGGCCCAGAGAUACCUCUUCGUCAUACGGAGUGACAAAUCCCAGUCUUGAUCCGUGUCAACCCAACAGACACUUUCGGAGAUACCCGUAGUAUACCUUUAUAGUCACCCAGUUACGUUGUGACGUUUGGUACACCCAAAGCACUCCUACGGUAUCCGGGAGUUACACGAUCUCAUGGUCUAUGGAAAAGAUACUUAACAUUGGAAAAACUCUAGCAAACGAACUAUACGAUCUUGUGCUAUGUUUAGGAUUGGGUCUUGUGCUAUGUUUAGGAUGUGAUCUCGUUAUCAAUGACAUCCAAUGUCCAUAGUCAGGAAACCAUGACUAUCUAUUGAUCAACGGGCUAGUCAACUAGAGGCUUACUAGGGACAUGUUGGUGUCUAUGUAUUCACACAUGUAUUACGAUUUCCGGAUAACACAAUUAUAGCAUGAAUAAAAGACAAUUAUCAUGAACAAGGAAAUAUAAUAAUAAUCCUUUUAUUAUUGCCUCUAGGGCAUAUUUCCAACAGUCUCCCACUUGCACUAGAGCCAAUAAUCUAGUUACAUUGUGAUGAAUCGAACACCCAUAGAGUUCUGGUGUUGAUCAUGUUUUGCCCUAGGGAGAGGUUUAGUCAACGGAUCUGCGACAUUCAGGUCCGUAUGUACUUUACAAAUAUCUAUGUCUCCAUCUUGAACAUUUUCACGAAUGGAGUUGAAGCGACGCUUGAUGUGCCUGAUCUUCUUGUGAAACCUGGGCUCCUUGACAAGUGCAAUAGCUCCAGUAUUGUCACAGAAGAGUUUGAUCGGCCCCGAUGCAUUGGGUAUGACUCCUAGGUCGGUGAUGAACUCCUUCACCCAAAUUACUUCAUGUGCUGCCUCCGAGGCCGCCAUGUACUCCGCUUCACAUGUAGAUCCCGCCACGACGCUCUGCUUGCAGCUGCACCAGCUUACUACUCCACCAUUCAACAUAUACACGUAUCCGGUUUGUGACUUAGAGUCAUCCAGAUCUGUGUCGAAGCUAGCAUCGACGUAACCCUUUACGACGAGCUCUUUGUCACCUCCAUAAAUGAGAAACAUGUCCUUAGUCCUUUUCAGGUACUUCAGGAUAUUCUUGACCGCUGUCCAGUGUUCCUUGCCGGGAUUACUUUGGUACCUACCUACCAAAUUUACGGCAAGGUUUACAUCAGGUCUGGUACACAGCAUGGCAUACAUAAUAAACCCUAUGGCUGAGGCAUAGGGGAUGACACUCAUCUCUUCUAUAUCUUCUGCCGUGGUCAGACAUUGAGCUGAGCUCAAUUUCACACCUUGCAACACAGGCAAGAACCCCUUCUUAGACUGAUCCAUAGUGAACUUCUUCAAUAUCUUAUCAAGGUAUGUGCUUUGUGAAAGACCUAUGAGGCGUCUUGAUCUAUCUCUAUAGAUCUUGAUGCCUAAUAUAUAAGCAGCUUCUCCAAGGUCCUUCAUUGAAAAACUCUUAUUCAAGUAGGCCUUAAUGCUGUCCAAAAGUUCUAUAUCAUUUCCCAUCAAAAGUAUGUCAUCUACAUAUAAUAUGAGAAAUGCUACAGAGCUCCCACUCACUUUCUUGUAAACGCAGGCUUCUCCAUAAGUCUGCAUAAACCCAAACGCUUUGAUCAUCUCAUCAAAGCGAAUGUUCCAACUCCGAGAUGCUUGCACCAGCCCAUAAAUCGAGCAUUGGAGCUUGCACACCUUGUCAGCAUUCUUAGGAUCGACAAAACCUUCCGGCUGCAUCAUAUACAAUUCUUCCUUAAGGAAACCAUUAAGGAAUGCCGUUUUGACGUCCAUUUGCCAUAUCUCAUAAUCAUAGAAUGCGGCAAUUGCUAACAUGAUUCGGACGGACUUCAGCUUCGCUACAGGUGAGAAAGUCUCAUCGUAGUCAACCCCUUGAACUUGUCGAUAAUCCUUAGCGACAAGCCGAGCUUUAUAGAUGGUCACUUUUCCAUCCGUGUCUGUCUUCUUAAAGAUCCAUUUAUUUUCUAUGGCUCGCCGCUCAACGGGCAAGUCAGUCAAAGUCCAUACUUCAUUUUCAUACAUGGAUCCUAUCUCGGAUUUCAUGGCUUCCAGCCAUUUGUCGGAAUCUGGGCCCGCCAUCGCUUCUUCAUAGUUUGAAGGUUCACUGUUGUCUAACAACAUGAUUUCCAAGACAGGGUUGCCGUACCACUCUAGUGCGGAACGUGUCCUUCUGGACCUACGAAGUUCAGUAGCAACUUGAUCUGAAGUUUCAUGAUCAUCAUCAUUAACUUCCUCUCUAGUCGGUGCACGCACCUCAGGAACAUUUUCUUGAGUUGCGCCAUUUUCCGGUUCAAGAGGUAAUACUUCAUCAAGUUCUACUUUCCUCCCACUUACUUCUUUCGAGAGAAACUCCUUCUCUAGAAAGGAUCCAUUCUUGGCAACAAAGAUCUUGCCUUCGGAUCUGAGGUAGAAAGUAUACCCAAUAGUUUCUUUAGGGUAUCCUAUGAAGACGCAUUUUUCCGACUUGGGUUCGAGCUUUUCAGGUUGAAGUUUCUUGACAUAAGCAUCGCAUCCCCAAACUUUAGAAACGACAGCUUAGGUUUCUUCUCAAACCAUAAUUCAUACGGUGUCGUCUCAACGGAUUUCGACGGAGCCCUAUUUAAAGUGAAUGCGGCAGUCUCUAAAGUAUAGCCCCAAAAUGAUAGCGGUAAAUCGGUAAGAGACAUCAUAGAUCGCACCAUAUCGAAUAGAGUGCGAUUACGAUGUUCGGACACACCAUUACGCUGAGGUGUUCCAGGCGGCGUCAGUUGUGAAACUAUUCCAUAUUUUUUUAAGUGUGUGCCAAACUCGUGACUCAAGUAUUCUCCUCCACGAUCUGAUCGCAAGAACUUGAUUUUCCUGUCAUGUUGAUUCUCAACCUCACUCUGAAAUUCCUUUAACUUUUCAAAGGUCUCAGACUUGUGUUUCAUUAAAUAGACAUACUCAUAUCUACUCAAGUCAUCAGUGAGGGUGAGAACAUAACGAUACCACCGCGAGCCUCAACACUUAUUGGACCGCACACAUCAGUAUGUAUGAUUUCCAAUAAGUUGGUUGCUCGCUCCAUUGUUCCUGAGAAUAUAGUCUUGGUCAUUUUACCCGUGAGGCAUGGUUCGCACGUGUCAAAUGAUUCGUAAUCAAGAGACUCUAAAAGUCCAUCUGCAUGGAGCUUCUUCAUGCGUUUGACACCUAUGUGACCAAGGCGGCAGUGCCACAAGUAUGUGGGACUAUCAUUAUCAACCUUACAUCUUUUGGUAUUCACACUAUGAAUAUGUGUAGCAUUACGCUCGAGAUUCAUUAAGAAUAAACCAUUCACCAUCGGAGCAUGACCAUAAAACAUAUCUCUCAUAUAAAUAGAACAACCAUUAUUCUCGGAUUUAAAUGAGUAGCCAUCUUGAAUUAAACGAGAUCCUGAUACAAUGUUCAUGCUCAAAGCUGGCACUAAAUAACAAUUAUUGAGGUUUAAAACUAAUCCCGUAGGUAAAUGUAGAGGUAGCAUGCCGACGGCGAUCACAUCGACCUUGGAACCAUUCCCGACGCGCAUCGUCACCUCGUCCUUCGCCAGUCUCCGCUUAUUCCGCAGCUCCUGCUUUGAGUUACAAAUGUGAGCAACCGCACCGGUAUCAAAUACCCAGGAGCUACUACGAGUACUGGUAAGGUACACAUCAAUUACAUGUAUAUCACAUAUACCUUUCGUGAUGCCGGCCUUCUUGUCCGCUAAGUAUUUGGGGCAGUUCCGCUUCCAGUGACCACUUCCCUUGCAAUAAAAACACUCAGUCUCGGGCUUGGGUCCAUUUUUUGGCUUCUUCCCGGCAGCUUGCUUACCGGGCGCGGCAACUCCCUUGCCGUUCUUCUUGAAGUUCUUCUUACCCUUGCCCUUCUUAAACUUAGUGGUUUUAUUCACCAUCAACACUUGAUGUUCCUUUUUGACUUUUACCUCUGCUGAUUUCAGCAUUGCAAAUACUUCAGGAAUGGUCUUUUCCAUCCCCUGCAUAUUGAAGUUCAUCACAAAGCUCUUGUAGCUCGGUGGAAGCGACUGAAGGAUUCUGUCAAUGACCGUGUCAUCCGGGAGAUUAACUCCCAGCUGAGUCAAGCGGUUAUGUAACCCAGACAUAGUGAGUAUGUGCUCACUGACAUAACUGUUUUCCUCCAUCUUACAGCUGAAGAACUUGUCGGAGACUUCAUAUCUCUCGACCCGGGCAUGAGCUUGAAAAACCAUUUUCAGCUCUUCAAACAUCUCAUAUGCUCCGUGUCUCUCAAAACGCUUUUGGAGCCCAGGCUCUAAGCUGUAAAGCAUGCCGCACUGAACGAGGGAGUAAUCAUCGGUACGUGUCUGCCAAGCGUUCAUAACGUCUUGUUCUGCAGGGAGAGCAGGUGCUUCACCUAGCGGUGCUUGUAGGACAUAAUCUUUCUUGGCAGCUAUGAGGAUGAUCCUCAGGUUCCGGACCCAGUCCGUAUAGUUGCUGCCAUCGUCUUUCAGCUUGGUUUUCUCUAGGAACGCGUCAAGUUGAGGACAACGUUGGCCAUUUGAUCUACAAUACAUGUUGUAAAGAUUUUAGACUAAGUUCAUGAUAAUUAAGUUCAUCUAAUCAAAUUAUUCAAUGAACUCCCACUUAGAUAGACAUCCCUCCAGUCAUCUAAGUAUAACAUGAUCCGAGUUAACUAGGCCGUGUCUGAUCAUCACGUGAGACGGACUAGUCAACAUCGGUGAACAUCUUCAUGUUGAUCGUAUCUUCUAUACGACUCAUGCUCGACCUUUCGGUCUUCUGUGUUCCGAGGCUAUGUCUGUACAUGCUAGGCUCAUCAAGUCAACCUAAGUGUUUGCAUGUGUAAAUCUGUCUUACACCCGUUGUAUGUGAACGUUGGAAUCUAUCACACCCGAUCAUCACGUGGUGCUUCGAAACAACGAACUGUCGCAACGGUGCACAGUUAGGGGGGGCACUUUCUUGAAAUUACUAUGAGGGAUCAUCUUAUUUACUACCGUCGUUCUAAGUAAACAAGAUGCAAAAACAUGAUAAACAUCACAUGCAAUCAAAUAAUAAUAGUGACAUGAUAUGGCCAAUAUCACAUAGCUCCUUUGAUCUCCAUCUUGGGGCUCCAUGAUCAUCUUGUCACCGGCAUGACACCAUGAUCUCCAUCAUCAUGAUCACCAUCAUCAUGUCUCCAUGAAGUUGCUCGCCAACUAUUACUUCUACUACUAUGGCUAACACGUUUAGCAAUAAAGUAAAGUAAUUUACAUGGCGUUUCUCAAUGACACGCAGGUCAUACAAAAAUAAAGACAACUCCUAUGGCUACUGCCGGUUGUCAUACUCAUCGACAUGCAAGUCGUGAUUCCUAUUACAAUAGCAUGAACAUCUCAUACAUCACAUAUAUAUCAUUCAUCAUUUAUCACAAUUUUGGCCAUAUCACAUCACAAAACACUUGCUGCAAAAACAAGUUAGACGUCCUCUAAUUGUUGUUGCAAGUUUUACGUGGCUGCAAUAGGGUUCUAGCAAGAACGUUUUCUUACCUACGUGAAAGCCACAACGUGAUUUGUCAACUUCUAUUUACCCUUCAUAAGGACCCUUUUCAUCAAAUCCGCUCCAACUGAAGUGGGAGGGACAGACACCCGCCAGCCACCUUAUGCAACUGGUGCAUGUCAGUCGGUGGAACCGGUCUCACGUAAGCGUACGUGUAAGGUUGGUCCAGGCCGCUUCAUCCCACAAUACCGCUGAAGCAAAAUAAGACUAGUAGCGGCAAGAAAGUUGACAACAUCUACGCCCACGACAAAUUGUGUUCUACUCGUGCAAAAAGAACUAUGCAUAGACCUAGCUCAUGAUGCCACUGUUGGUGAACGUUGCAGAAACCAAAAAAUUUCAUACGGUUUCACCAAGAUCCAUCUAUGAGUUCAUCUAGCAACGAGUGAUCGGAUUGCAUCUACAUACCUUUGUAGAUCACACGCGGAAGCGUUCAAAGAACGGGGAUGAGGAAGUCGUACUCGACGUGAUCCAAAUCACCGAAGAUCCUAGCGCCGAACGGACGGCACCUCCGCGUUCAACACACGUACGGUCAGCGUGACGUCUCCUCCUUCUUGAUCCAGCAAGGGGGAAGGAGAGGUUGAUGAAGAUCCAGCAGCACGACGGUGUGGUGGUGGAUGCAGGAGUCACCGCAGCAGGGCUUCGCCGUUUUACUGCGAGAGGGAGAGGUGUAGUAGGGGAGAGGGAGGCUCCAAGAGUCAAGGGUGUGGCUGCCCCUCCCUCCCCCCUCCUUAUAUAAGCUCCCCUAGGGGGGCGCCGGCCCUAGAAGAUGGGAUCUCCUAGGGGGGCGGCGGCCAAGGGGUGGAGUGCCCCUCAAGCCAGGUGGGGCGCCCCCCCACCCUAGGGUUCCCAACCCUAGGCGCAUGGGGUGGGCCAAAGGGGGCGCACAAGCCCACUAUGGGCUGGUUCCCCUCCCCACUUUAGCCCAUGGGGCCAUCCGGGAUGGGUGGCCCCACCCGGUGGACUCCCGGGACCCUUCCGGUGGUCCCGGUACAAUACCGGUGACCCCUGAAACUCUCCCGAUGGCCGAAACUACACUUCCUAUAUAUAAUUCUUCACCUCCGGACCAUUUCGGAACUCCUCGUGACAUCCGGGAUCUCAUCCGGGACUCCAAACAACUUUCGGGUUACUGGAUAUUCAUAUCUCUACAACCCUAGCGUCACCGAACCUUAAGUAUGUAGACCCUACGGGUUCGGGAGACAUGUAGACAUGACCGAGACGGCUCUCCGGUCAAUAACCAACAGCGGGAUCUGGAUACCCAUGUUGGCUCCCACAUGCUCCUCGAUGAUCUCAUCGGAUGAACCACGAUGUCGAGGAUUCAAGCAACCCCGUAUACAAUUCCCUUUGUCAACCGGUACGUUACUUGCCCGAGAUUCGAUCGUCGGUAUCCCAAUACCUCGUUCAAUCUCGUUACCGGCAAGUCACUUUACUCGUACCAUAAUGCAUGAUCCCGUGACCAGACACUUGGUCACUUUGAGCUCAUUAUGAUGAUGCAUUACCGAGUGGGCCCAGAGAUACCUCUCCGUCAUACAGAGUGACAAAUCCCAGUCUUGAUCCGUGUCAACCCAACAGACACUUUCGGAGAUACCCGUAGUAUACCUUUAUAGUCACCCAGUUACGUUGUGACGUUUGGUACACCCAAAGCACUCCUACGGUAUCCGGGAGUUACACGAUCUCAUGGUCUAAGGAAAAGAUACUUGACAUUGGAAAAACUCUAGCAAACGAACUAUACGAUCUUGUGCUAUGUUUAGGAUUGGGUCUUGUCUAUCACAUCAUUCUCCUAAUGAUGUGAUCUCGUUAUCAAUGACAUCCAAUGUCCAUAGUCAGGAAACCAUGACUAUCUAUUGAUCAACGAGCUAGUCAACUAGAGGCUUACUAGGGACAUGUUGGUGUCUAUGUAUUCACACAUGUAUUACGAUUUCCGGAUAACACAAUUAUAGCAUGAAUAAAAGACAAUUAUCAUGAACAAGGAAAUAUAAUAAUAAUCCUUUUAUUAUUGCCUCUGAGGCAUAUUUCCAACACCCCAUACCCGGCAGGCGUCCUGGUUGGGACCUCGGAGUCUUAGAUGUUAGGUUUGUCUGCGAGGUAUGUGGUAUUAGGCCCAUAAUAUCAGGAUUUCUUCAUCAACUGGUUAGGAGUAGCGACAUGUGUUGCCUAGAUGGUGGAUUUAGUUUUACUGUUGUAUGACUUGGUAAGGUUUUGUGUGAAUAAUUAAUAAAAUGGAUGCAUGUAUCGUUCAAAUGCAGAGGCCGGGUGCUCCUUCUUUUCUAAAAAAAAUGUUCAUGGGUAUUGUUGAUACGAAAAUAUAGCCGGCCAGCCAUGAUCUGGCAGUUGUCUACAGAUGCAAGAAUAUGUAUAUAUGUUUGGUAAAGAAGAGGACAAGUGGUCCUGAUUUCCAUGAUGACGCGGCGACACGCCAGAGCGAUAAUAAAGAAAUGCUCAGAUCAGUUGAAUUAUCUCCUUGUCUAGUGUGCUCCACGUACUCCACUGAUAGGUGAAGCGAAAGAAUCCUCUUGAUGAACAACGACACAACAGUUACUAUCCAUCGGAGGGAGCAAACAAUUCAAUCAUGGAGGGGGUGAAAAGGAUUGCAUCGGUGGGGGUUCCUCUUCCUCCUCCUCCUCCUUGUCCUCUUAUCCUGUACAUGGCCAUUUCAUUUCACCCAUGCCUUGCACAGUUGCACAUACGGCACAUAUUCCCAUUUAUUUCCUUUUUCCAAAAGAAUAGUUUUCAGUGCUUUGGUUGCCAACUUUAUUUCGAGGAAUGUGUAAACAUCCAAUAUGUAUUUUUAUCCAUGGAAUCAAGGGUGUAUAAUACACACACAAAAACACGCAGAGGUCAACAUUUAAUUAAAUGUAUAUGAAUACAUAUUCAUACAUAUGCGGACAACAUUUAUCAAAUCAUGAUUUUUUUUCUUUUUGAAAUACGUGAACACAUUUAGUACUGAAACAUUUGUUUUGUAUGCACGAUAACAUUUCAAAUGCUUCAUGCAUUUUUUAUUCAUAUGAACAUUUCUGCUAGGUAUGUGAACAUUUUCCUUUUUCAUUUCAUUUGUUAAGUUUUUAAUUAUAGUUAGAAUUUUUAUUAACUCAAAUAACUAUUUUCCUAAUACAAUUUUCUUUCCGUUCCCCUCAUAAGCGGAAAAAUANNNNNNNNNNNNNNNNNNNNNNNNNNNNNNNNNNNNNNNNNNNNNNNNNNNNNNNNNNNNNNNNNNNNNNNNNNNNNNNNNNNNNNNNNNNNNNNNNNNNNNNNNNNNNNNNNNNNNNNNNNNNNNNNNNNNNNNNNNNNNNNNNNNNNNNNNNNNNNNNNNNNNNNNNNNNNNNNNNNNNNNNNNNNNNNNNNNNNNNNNNNNNNNNNNNNNNNNNNNNNNNNNNNNNNNNNNNNNNNNNNNNNNNNNNNNNNNNNNNNNNNNNNNNNNNNNNNNNNNNNNNNNNNNNNNNNNNCAUUCUCCUUCCCUGUGUCUACCGCUUCGGUGGCCGGUGGCUGGGAGAGGAAUCCAUGUUCCUCGGCUCUGACUAGUUGUGAUGGCCUGACUUAUUAGGGAUGAGAGACUACUCAUAUAAAUAAGGAAUUCCUUCUUUUCCGGAAGCCCAUUUGGACAUAACUCCAAAGUUAAGCGUGCUCAGCUUGGAGUAGUGUCAGGAUGGGUGACCGACCGGGAAGUUGCUCCCGGAUGCGCACAAGUGAGGACAAAGUGCGCUGGCAUUGAUCUGUGGGGCCAGUCUAGAUCCCGUCAGGAGUAACGACUACCGGCGGGUGUGUCCGGGGCGUUACACUAGUAGCUAAGGUUAGAGUUUUUUUAGUCCUUACAGGAGCGGUGCUCGGACAGAUGGCGGCGCCUUUUCUUUGAGAUGGUCUUCCAUGCUCUUAUCCUUCUCAAACCGUUCGUCUGGACAAAGUAGGUGGAACUCCGACAUGGUUUAAUCAUGUAUCCUGGGGGUAGAGAGGUUAAGGUUCUCGUCAUGCGUGUGCGAUGGCAAGAUCUGGUAAUAGGCGCUUCAGAUCGGUUCAUGGGCUCAAGGGCGAUGACUUUAUCUCCAUUGGCGCUGGUCCUUAAGGGCACGUGCACGAAGACUUCUCUGUUGUCAUCACAAGUUCACGUGGGCUCUAGUAGGGGAGUGACGACAGUGGCACGUCAACGUCUCUAGCGGUGGUAAUGGUCCUUCGCUGGUCUAGGGACCUUGAUGUAAUUUUAUUAUAUUUGGGUUUCUUUGUACUUCCGAACUUUCAUAACAGAUCUAGUUCUUUUCGCUAAAUACAAACCAUCAGUAUCUCUAAUUAAAAAAAUUAAAAAAAUGAGCUGGCGGGUCAGGCUACUUGCCACUGGUUGCCUAAGAGCAAGUACAAUACAGUAACAUGAGCGAGCUAUGAAAGAUGACACGUCAAUUUUAUAUCUAGUUGGAGGAGUGAUGAGAGGAGAGAGAAGAGAAACGGGCUAUAAACUUAUAGCCAGCUGUAGCAUAAGACACAACAAUCUUUGGUAUGACUAACUAUUAUAGGAGUGGGCUAUUAAAUUUUCUAUAAAUGACAUGAGAACUCGAUAUAGCCGGCUCUUGGCUAUUCUUUAACCAUGUUCUAGGAGCUACCCUCUUGUGGCUGGUCCAUAAGUGCUGACUGGUCAUGCCAUGACGAGAGCCUCAUCUUUGCAAUUUCAUUCCUCAUCUCUCUUCCCUCCAUUAUUGCGAAGACCACAGACAAAUACUCCCUUCGUCUUAAAAUAAGUGUAUCAACUUUAUACACUAAAUGUAAUACAAAGUUGUACUACAGUUGAGACAUUUAUAGUGAAAUGGAGGGAGUACCUUUUUGUGUCCGGGCCCUCAGCGACGACAAUGACAGAUAGUCUGGAUCUUGGUAGUGAUGAUGUUGGCACAGGCAACCUCGGCAGCAUUGGCGUCGGUUACUACCUUGAUGAUGUUGGUGACAAUGGCAUUAACGGCGACCUAUGAAAGUUCAGUGGCAUCGCCUUUCUCUGACUCGGUACAACUUGACCUAUGAGCCUAUUUAUACCAAACUUGUAUGCUUACUUAUAGCCCACUUGUAUCAAUUCACAAAUUUAGGUGAAAUGUUGUGGUAUUUCGAGCGUAUGAAGAGGGCCUAAUCACGCAACUGGUAACUCAUUUUGGAUUACUAGUGUUGGACGAAAAUACCCCUUUUGAGGAAAACUUAGGGGUUCUAUCGAAGCACUCCUCUCUAAAAGUUACUGUCUCAAUUUCUGUGUUGUAAAAUGCAUUUCUUCCAAUUUGAUCCGCUGUAUGAAAAAAAGAACUGGUAGAGAAACACUUAGAAUAGUAUAAGCUUGGGCAACCAAAUCGGUAGGUAACCAACUGUGCCUGCCAACAGUUCUUCCCUUCCUUGUCCAUACAUUCUCGAAGAAGACCAAUCAAUACUUAGGGCCAAAUCGAAGUCCAAGAUGCAUAUAUAGUUUUAUAGUACAUACAAAAUGCCUUCUUUUCCUUGGAAAUUCCCUCUAUACAUCAUCAAUAACAGAUUGCCAAUUAACUUGUUCCUGAGAGCCUUAGAAAACAAAGGAAAGUUAUGCCGGCUGUAUUAGUGAAGGCUGGCUGCUGCUGCCAACUGCGGGUAACUGACGCUCUUGAGCAAGGAGAGGUAGCCACCCUCCAGGUUCUUCACCUUCGUGAACCCCUG
rnacentral:lncRNA from 1 species